CCGCGUCGGCCAAUCAGAACCGGCGGGGAGGAUCACAUGACCGACACCGUGGUCGAAAUGCAGGCAGGCAGGCAGCGCUCGGGACUCGGGAGAGCGGCAGUGAGGCAGAGACGGAGAGAGAGACGGAGCUGAGGAGAAGGGAGAGAGAGAGAGAGAGCGCGCGAGAGUACUUGGAUGGUUAUCUGCGCUCAGGGACGGAAAGCCACUCGCUCGGGAACGAGGCCAGAGCCUUGAACUGCGCUUCACCCUGUAGACCAAUAAACAAACCCACAUCACACUGACAGGCCGCGCAGGAGCUCCUCUAGACCUUCAGCUGUCCCGAUCAGGGACGUACCAAUCCCAUUCCUGGGGGUGGACACAUCAUUAAUUCAUUAGCAGAGCAGAGCGCACAGGGAUGCCACGAAUAUUCCGACUGACAUGGUCAAAAAUGGCACUUUAUGUUUUUGCCUGGAAAAGAGAAACGAGGCUGAGAAUUCUGACGAGGAGAAAAAAACUGUUAACACCUCACACACAACGUUGAUGGUAAUUCAGGGAUGUGCUCUCCUGAGGCGGUCCGAGAACUCUCCGGUUUCAGGAGGGACGUCAAGCAGUCUUGACGAUGACGGCUUACGGCUCACGGAAUUCAAAACUCCAGCGUCUCGAAAUAUUGGAACAGGACCGUGUUGAGACCAGACGCGAGUCUUACUACAGCCCUGUUGUGUUUCUUCUGUCGUCUUCUUCCUGCAGUGCUCCUGCCAAUCUGACCCACUUUAAUUCACAAAAUCUCGAAGGCUACUGUUCUCAGCUAUAGAUAGAAUUUGCUCUGACCUGCCUUGCAAGAGGAGGAAAAAACCAAGAGUAUCUAAGGUCGUGUCCCUCUGUAAGGAAGCGGAACAAAGAGGACGACACAGUCAAAAGUGUAGGUCUCCCUCUCUCUCUCUCUCUCCUCUCCUCUCCCUCUCUCUCUCUCUCUCUCUCUCUGUGUUUGUUAAAUUAUGGUGGUGAUAUUUAUUUCUCUCAUUAAGAACUAUUGAAAGCACACUUGCAUUUUCAUUUACGGUCACCACUGAUGUCAUUGUGACACAAUUUCCCUUCCCACUCCACCCCCCACCCCCCAACAUUAGAUUUCAGGAUGUUUCCUGCUAAAAAAAAAAAGGAGAUCUGGUGAAUGCAUUAAAGUUUGAAAGCACAGAAAGAUGAAGUAGCGCUGCGGAGCAUCUCUCUGGUUUAAAAUGGAGUCUAGUGAUGAUGACUGUUAUCAGGAUGUAUGGAAGUGUAAUCUUGAAGCACGAGUAUGAGAGAGAUUAUAAGAUGGAUCGCAGAGGGUUGAGUGAAAACUAUUACAUCCGCUCGAGUUCUGCAGAAUCCAUUAAACGCUGGCGCUCGCCGCGGGGGAGGAGCGGACGGCACCGAUCCCGCUUUAACGCGCGAGGCAGCGCCGGGUCACGGGCGCGCUCAAGAAAGCUUUUGCAAAUACGCGGUAAUAACUCUAUCUGUGACAGGAUCGGGGAUAAUUUCAGUUCGAGUCUGACUUAAACACACACACACACACACACACACACACACACAUCAUCUGCAGUCAUUAGAUUUAAACCGCCGUCUCAGAUGUCACUGCACACUUUACAGAGAUACGGUCCAGUACGUCGAGGCUUCGAGCUCCGAGGAAUCAGUUCGGGAUUAGGAUUAGUAACGGAUGCUGGUUUUAUUUUCCAUCCAGUGGCACGUAGGAAUUGUUUACUGCUGAGACUGCUCAUGGCGUUCCUCCACGCUGAUGGAUCGCACAUGUUGAAGGCCUGUGGUGCAACAAACCCAUACACCACCUUCAUCUACACCUACGCCUCUUCAGAUUGAAUUCUUA
ensembl:lncRNA